GACCAGGGUUCCAAGUUGUCUUGGGCCCAGUGAGGUCACUGCCUGGGGACCCCUUCCCUAGGCUUCCUGCUCACACAAGACCUCCCUAAGGGCCCCCUGGGCCGCUGACUUCUCACCCUCCAUCCCAACACCACGGCCAUCCACAGCUGCACCAACACAGCCCAACCCACCGACCCCGAGGAGGCCUGGCUCGAGUCAGAAGCCAGCGUUGGGGACACAGAGCUGGUCAGACCUGGCUCCUCCUUCUUGCCAGUGAUGUCCCCCUGGACAGCCAUGUGCCUCUCAGGGCCUCCCCAUGCCCCCAUCUGUGCAGCGGUGAGCUCCUAUAGGACACGGAUCGUGUGAGGGCUUUCAGAACCGCCCCCAGGCUCACACUGCGCCUUCACAGAGUGAGUGCAGGCCCACAGCAGCUGAAAGAAGGGGAUGAUCUCAGAGCCCCCUUCCGCCUCUGAACAACUCCCAUCGUCGCCAUGGAUGCCAGUCACGAAAGGUGCCUGUUGCUUUGGCCAGGGGAACCCCCAGAAUGACCACUGAGUGUGCCUUCCCUCUUCCAGUUACUCCUCUGAGCACAAGUGGCAAUAAACCCCCUGGUGGUCAGGUCCAGCAUUGCAGCAACAGGCAGGACAGCAGGAGAGAAAAAACACACCUUUGUUCCAGGCCCUGGAGGCAGCGGUUCCAGCAGGGCCCAGGGCGCAAAGGAGAAGGCCGUACAGGCUCCGGGGGUGAUGUGAGGGACCUGUGAAGCCUCUCUUGCUCCCUCUCUCCCUGCACUGGCCCUGGCGUGUGCACUUUCCCCACGAGGCCUCCUCACCGCAGCCAGGGCACUGACUCCACUCCACGUCCAAAUGAGGACCCCGAGGCUCCAACAAGGAUGGCCUCGGUCCUGCUCUCCAGAUGAGGGGUCCAUAGCUCUGCCAAGUUCUGCAGUAGCCAGGUGCCCAGCCCACCUACAGCUCAGGCUGCCCUCUGCCCAGAAAGGCCUCGAGGGACUAGAAGGCCCAGUCCAAGGCCUCGGAGCACGGUGGGUCAUGGAUGGACAACUGAGAUCGAUAGACUCUUCUACAAGCUUGUGGGGUCCUUGGAGUCACUCCUCUAGGCUCCCCAAUUGAUGGAGGAGUAACCUCAUGCCUUCUAUCCACUGGCCCCUUCCAUACUGGGGGUGGGG
rnacentral:lncRNA from 1 species